rnacentral:rRNA from 1 species
CACGUAGGGGGCAAGCGUUGUCCGGAUUCAUUGGGCGUAAAGAGCUCGUAGGCGGUUCGAUAAGUCGGGUGUGAAACCUCCAGGCUCAACCUGGAGACGCCACCCGAUACUGUCGUGACUAGAGUCCAGUAGGGGAGCGUGGAAUUCCUGGUGUAGCGGUGAAAUGCGCAGAUAUCAGGAGGAACACCAGCGGCGAAGGCGGCGCUCUGGGCUGGAACUGACGCUGAGACACGAAAGCGUGGGGAGCAAACAGG